UGUUCGAGGCUGAUAAGUAGAGCUUUUCCUAGGCCACAGCGUGUACCAGUGAAUGGGGUAAGAACUCAGAGCCUCGCUGAGACCUAGGAUGGUAGCAGUGUCAUCAUAAACUUGUAAAUGUAUCAGGACAAUGGAACCGCCCGGCGCAUUUCCAAGGCACACUGGCUGCACACAGAGGACAGCUGUCCUGUUCCCACGGAGGGACCGUGAGGCCGGGCUCUCAGAGAAGGCUGGAGCAUUUCCCAUUACACAGAGGAUUGUGCUGAGUCACGAAGCAAAGAAUGACCAGAAUGGCCAAGGAUGGAGCACAGAGGGUAAAAUUCAACUCGGACAGUGUCUCAUCCUCAACAGGGGUAAAGCAUGAAACGUCAGUGAGGAACAGUUUGGGCCACACGUCUUACACCCCACACUUAGGAGUCUGGAUUCUAUGCGAAGUCUCAGGAGAUUCAUGCCCACAUCCGAAGAAGGACAGCUAAUUGAAGAAAACAUCUUGAUAAAUCCAGACUGGAAACAUUGAGAUUUCUAUUCAAGCAUC